AAUCACUAGUUCCACUGCCAUC
rnacentral:miRNA from 1 species